rnacentral:rRNA from 1 species
UACGUAGGGUGCAAGCGUUGUCCGGAAUUAUUGGGCGUAAAGAGCUCGUAGGCGGCCUGUUGCGUCCGCUGUGAAAGCCCCGGGGCUUAACCCCGGGUCGGCAGUGGAUACGGGCAGGCUAGAGGUAGGUAGGGGAGAAUGGAAUUCCCGGUGUAGCGGUGAAAUGCGCAGAUAUCGGGAGGAACACCGGUGGCGAAGGCGGUUCUCUGGGCCUUACCUGACGCUGAGGAGCGAAAGCGUGGGGAGCGAACAGG